CCUACGGGAGGCAGCAGUGGGGAAUUUUGGACAAUGGGCGCAAGCCUGAUCCAGCCAUGCCGCGUGCAGGAUGAAGGCCUUCGGGUUGUAAACUGCUUUUGUACGGAACGAAAAGGUCUUUUUAAUAAAGAGGGCCCAUGACGGUACCGUAAGAAUAAGCACCGGCUAACUACGUGCCAGCAGCCGCGGUAAUACGUAGGGUGCAAGCGUUAAUCGGAAUUACUGGGCGUAAAGCGUGCGCAGGCGGUAAUGUAAGACAGAUGUGAAAUCCCCGGGCUCAACCUGGGAACUGCAUUUGUGACUGCAUUGCUGGAGUGCGGCAGAGGGGGAUGGAAUUCCGCGUGUAGCAGUGAAAUGCGUAGAUAUGCGGAGGAACACCGAUGGCGAAGGCAAUCCCCUGGGCCUGCACUGACGCUCAUGCACGAACGACGGUGGGGAGGACGAAACGAAGGAGUUAGUAUACCCGUACGGUACGUACCGACCGACCCGUAAACCGAACGUGU
rnacentral:rRNA from 1 species